UGAACCUCCCCUAUAUUCCAAAACCCCAUCAGUGGCAAGAAGGGUAAUGAGCCUCACCACGUGUCCUACCGGAGCAAAAAACCCUCACCACGUAGACACCAUCAUGAAUAUACUCUUUUUUGCUGACGUUCUUGGGAGACUAUCUUCCCGAUCUGCAGGUGACAUGAGAGAAAGUCUGGCAUACCUGGCAAAAUGAGGGCAGGGAGGAAAACCAAGGUAGACCUGGACACAGCACCAGAAUUAUGGACAGAGAAGUAUGAAGAAGCCAACAGUAGUCUGCUGAGGGCGGAGUAUUGGAAAUGAGGAAGGCAUGGAGAGGAAUCACUCCAGAGAUAGACACGGGCUCCUCCCAACAAUCGCAGGUGAGAACUUACAAGCACAACCUUGUGGAGAAAACUUCGAAGGCCCAGAAAAGACCAAUCUGUGGGAAAUUUAGAAAAGAAUGUUUAAAACAUCCCAGACAUUCAAGAAACCAGAGGAAAACAUUGAGUAGAAACAGCAAAUAUAUUUUAAAAUGAAGCAAACCAAACUUUUGGAAUAAAAACUAUCAUGUUUAAAUUAAAAAAUACAGUGGAUGAAAUUGACAGCAGAUUGAACACUGCAGAAGAAACACUUAGUGGACUUGAGGAUGUAGCAAUAAAAAGUGUCCAAAUGAAACAUAGAGAAGAAAAAAACUGAAG